rnacentral:sRNA from 1 species
AUAACGGAUUUUAAAUACUGUAUGUCUAUCCGAUAUCUUAACCAGGACCAAACCCGAUCUAAA